AUGGCUAGCCAUGUCGCUGCGACUCUGCCGCCGCUGUUGCCUACCCCGGCGCGCUGCCUCCUCCUGACGCCUCCUCCGGCGGUGUACACGGCUUGUGUGGAGCUGAACACCAAGAAGCAGCAGCCUGAACGUGCCUCGAUGAGCAGAAGCUGGAUCAAGGACAAGGCCGACCUUCCUGGGCGUGCUUCCCGGAGCUCCAGCUGGGCCACUGACAAGACGCUCCGUCGUGCCGGAACUUUGAACGGCGGCAUCGAGCGCCUCGGCCGCGGGGAUACGUCGAGGGAAAACUGGAAGAGGCCGGCCAGCCGCGCGCCAUCCGUAGACCGGUGCGAGAAGAAGCCGAGGCCUCCGACUGUGAUGGUGGCAGCCUCGGAGGCAUCACUCCUCGCCGGCCCGGCGCCGUCGGUCGGCCUGUCGGAGAAGAAGGCAAAGCCUACGACUGAGAUGGUGGCAAACUCGGCGACGUCUCUGACCAAGAUGGAGGAGUACUCGGAGGCAUCCUUCUUCGCUGGCCCGACAUUCAUGGUGUCGCCAGACCCGAGCGAGCUGCCCAUGCCGACCUUCAUC
rnacentral:rRNA from 1 species